AUUGAACGCUGGCGGCAUGCUUUACACAUGCAAGUCGAACGGUAACAGGCCUUCGGGUGCUGACGAGUGGCGAACGGGUGAGUAAUGCAUCGGAACGUACCCAGAGGUGGGGGAUAACGCAGCGAAAGCUGUGCUAAUACCGCAUGUGAUCUGAGGAUGAAAGCGGGGGACCGAGCAGCAAUGUUUGGCCUCGCGCCUUUGGAGCGGCCGAUGUCGGAUUAGCUAGUUGGUGGGGUAAAGGCCUACCAAGGCGACGAUCCGUAGCUGGUCUGAGAGGACGACCAGCCACACUGGGACUGAGACACGGCCCAGACUCCUACGGGAGGCAGCAGUGGGGAAUUUUGGACAAUGGGCGCAAGCCUGAUCCAGCAGUGCCGCGUGCGGGAAGAAGGCCUUCGGGUUGUAAACCGCUUUUGGCAGGAACGAAACGGUGUCCGCUAAUACCGGGCGCUAAUGACGGUACCUGCAGAAUAAGCACCGGCUAACUACGUG
rnacentral:rRNA from 1 species